rnacentral:rRNA from 2 species
AAUGGGUCAGCGACUUAUAUUCUGUAGCAAGGUUAACCGAAUAGGGGAGCCGGAGGGAAACCGAGUCUUAAUUGGGCGUUAAGUUGCAGGGUAUAGACCCGAAACCCGGUGAUCUAGCCAUGGGCAGGUUGAAGGUUGGGUAACACUAACUGGAGGACCGAACCGACUAAUGUUGAAAAAUUAGCGGAUGACCUGUGGCUGGGGGUGAAAGGCCAAUCAAACCGGGAGAUAGCUGGUUCUCCCCGAAAGCUAUUUAGGUAGCGCCUCGUGAAUUCAUCUCCGGGGGUAGAGCACUGUUUCGGCUAGGGGGCCAUCCCGGCUUACCAACCCGAUGCAAACUGCGAAUACCGGAGAAUGUUAUCACGGGAGACACACGGCGGGUGCUAACGUCCGUCGUGAAGAGGGAAACAACCCAGACCGCCAGCUAAGGUCCCAAAGUCAUGGUUAAGUGGGAAACGAUGUGGGAAGGCCCAGACAGCCAGGAUGUUGGCUUAGAAGCAGCCAUCAUUUAAAGAAAGCGUAAUAGCUCACUGGUCGAGUCGGCCUGCGCGGAAGAUGUAACGGGGCUAAACCAUGCACCGAAGCUGCGGCAGCGACACUGUGUGUUGUUGGGUAGGGGAGCGUUCUGUAAGCCUGUGAAGGUGUGUCGUGAGGCAUGCUGGAGGUAUCAGAAGUGCGAAUGCUGACAUAAGUAACGAUAAAGCGGGUGAAAAGCCCGCUCGCCGGAAGACCAAGGGUUCCUGUCCAACGUUAAUCGGGGCAGGGUGAGUCGACCCCUAAGGCGAGGCCGAAAGGCGUAGUCGAUGGGAAACGGGUUAAUAUUCCCGUACUUGGUGUUACUGCGAAGGGGGGACGGAGAAGGCUAUGUUGGCCGGGCGACGGUUGUCCCGGUUUAAGCGUGUAGGUGUGUGUUCCAGGUAAAUCCGGUUCACUUUAACACUGAGGCGUGACGACGAGGCACUACGGUGCUGAAGCAACAAAUGCCCUGCUUCCAGGAAAAGCCUCUAAGCAUCAGGUAACAUCAAAUCGUACCCCAAACCGACACAGGUGGUCAGGUAGAGAAUACCAAGGCGCUUGAGAGAACUCGGGUGAAGGAACUAGGCAAAAUGGUGCCGUAACUUCGGGAGAAGGCACGCUGACACGUAGGUGAAGUGAUUUACUCAUGGAGCUGAAGUCAGUCGAAGAUACCAGCUGGCUGCAACUGUUUAUUAAAAACACAGCACUGUGCAAACACGAAAGUGGACGUAUACGGUGUGACGCCUGCCCGGUGCCGGAAGGUUAAUUGAUGGGGUCAGCGCAAGCGAAGCUCCUGAUCGAAGCCCCGGUAAACGGCGGCCGUAACUAUAACGGUCCUAAGGUAGCGAAAUUCCUUGUCGGGUAAGUUCCGACCUGCACGAAUGGCGUAAUGAUGGCCAGGCUGUCUCCACCCGAGACUCAGUGAAAUUGAACUCGCUGUGAAGAUGCAGUGUACCCGCGGCAAGACGGAAAGACCCCGUGAACCUUUACUAUAGCUUGACACUGAACAUUGAGCCUUGAUGUGUAGGAUAGGUGGGAGGCUUUGAAGUGUGGACGCCAGUCUGCAUGGAGCCGACCUUGAAAUACCACCCUUUAAUGUUUGAUGUUCUAACGUGGACCCGUUACCCGGGUUGCGGACAGUGUCUGGUGGGUAGUUUGACUGGGGCGGUCUCCUCCUAAAGAGUAACGGAGGAGCACGAAGGUUGGCUAAUCCUGGUCGGACAUCAGGAGGUUAGUGCAAUGGCAUAAGCCAGCUUGACUGCGAGCGUGACGGCGCGAGCAGGUGCGAAAGCAGGUCAUAGUGAUCCGGUGGUUCUGAAUGGAAGGGCCAUCGCUCAACGGAUAAAAGGUACUCCGGGGAUAACAGGCUGAUACCGCCCAAGAGUUCAUAUCGACGGCGGUGUUUGGCACCUCGAUGUCGGCUCAUCACAUCCUGGGGCUGAAGUAGGUCCCAAGGGUAUGGCUGUUCGCCAUUUAAAGUGGUACGCGAGCUGGGUUUAGAACGUCGUGAGACAGUUCGGUCCCUAUCUGCCGUGGGCGCUGGAGAACUGAGGGGGGCUGCUCCUAGUACGAGAGGACCGGAGUGGACGCAUCACUGGUGUUCGGGUUGUCAUGCCAAUGGCACUGCCCGGUAGCUAAAUGCGGAAGAGAUAAGUGCUGAAAGCAUCUAAGCACGAAACUUGCCCCGAG